rnacentral:rRNA from 1 species
CUUGGUCAUUUAGAGGAAGUAAAAGUCGUAACAAGGUUUCCGUAGGUGAACCUGCGGAAGGAUCAUUUAUAAAUCUAACUUUAUGUAUUAGUUUCAAGAGUACUUUUGUGCUUUUUAACUAUAUAUAAUAUUAUCCUUUGUGAAUCGGGUUGGAUCAUCUAAUAAAUGGUCUGACUCUUAGGUGGGGGAGUUUUAAUUUUCAAGGGACUAACAGGAGACUUUUAACCAAAAGUCUUUUGGGAGUUACCUUUAAAAUUUUAUAUAUACGUUAUGAAAAAAUGUCUUAAAAUAAUAAUUUAACCUUCUUGGUUAAUAAAAAUUUAAAUACAACUUUUAACAAUGGAUCUCUUGGCUCUUGCAACGAUGAAGAACGCAGUGAAUUGCGAUAAGUAAUGUGACUUCAUUCAUUUGUGAAUCAUCGAAUCUUUGAACGCAUAUUGCACUUUUAAGGUCUACUUAAAAGUAUACCUGUUUGAGUAUCAUAUAUUUUUUAUCCAAUUUAUUUUGGGACUUGAGAGUUCUCAAUACCUUUUCCAAAAGGAAUUGUCUCUUUAAAUGUAGGGAAGUAAAUUCUUAGGUUAAAUCGUUAAUCUUUGAGUAAGGUGAAAGGAAAUCAUUAGAGUUUCUCUAAUCUUUUUUUAUUAAUAUUACUCUUAUAGAGGUUAACGAAACUCUAUUAGUAAAACUUUCAAGCAGGAAAAUAAUAAUCUCUUUGGAGGCUAUUACCAAAAUUUGAUCUCAAAUCACGCAAGACUACCCGCUGAACUUAAGCAUAUCAGUAAGCGGAGGAAAAGAAACUAACAAGGAUUCCCCUAGUAACUGCGAGUGAAGAGGGAAAAGCUCAAAUUUAAAAUCUGACUGGUUUCCAGUUCGAAUUGUAGUUUAUAGAAACGUUUUCUUGUAAAAGUAUUGGUUCAAGUUCCUUGGAACAGGACAUCAUAGAGGGUGAGAAUCCCGUCUUUAGCCUUUAUUUUUUACUUUAUGAUACGUUUUCAAAGAGUCGGGUUGUUUGGGAAUGCAGCCCAAAAUUGGUGGUAAAUUUCAUCUAAAGCUAAAUAAUGGCAAGAGACCGAUAGCGAACAAGUACCGUGAGGGAAAGAUGAAAAGAACUUUGAAAAGAGAGUUAAAAGUACGUGAAAUUGUUAAAAUGGAAACGAUUGAAACCAGUAUUACUUUUAAAAGUUCAGUUAAAGCUAUUAGCUGUUAAUUUGUAAAAGAGUGUUAAAGCCUUUUACUGAUUAAAUAAGCCGAGACUUUGAUGCAUUCUUUUAAAAGUGAGUCAACAUCAGUUUUACCUAUUGGACAAAGGGAAAAGGAAGGUGACUAAGUACUUCGGUGGUUAGUUUUAUAGACUUUUUCAAAUACAGUGGGUUGGGACUGAGGAACGCAGUAUUAAUUGGUUUAUUUAACUAAUUCUCUGUUAAUAAGGCAAGACUAUUUUACAGACUUGAAUUAUUUUUACGUUGAAUUCAGUUAGCAAAAUACAAAAAUACUUUGGAUGUUGACGAAAUGGUUUUAAACGACCCGUCUUGAAACACGGACC